GUGGGUUSCACCAGAAGUAGGUAGCCUAACCGCAAGGAGGGCGCUUACCACGGUGGGAUUCAUGACUGGGGUGAAGUCGUAACAAGGUAGCCGUAGGUGAACCUGCAGAAGGAUCA
rnacentral:rRNA from 1 species